UGUGCGGGAGCCACCGACAGAAAUCUGUAUGU
rnacentral:piRNA from 1 species